UACAGAGACUGCAAGCGUUAUUCGGAUUCACUGGGCGUAAAGGGUGCGCAGGCGGCCAAGUGUGUGAGGCGUGAAAGCCCGGGGCUUAACCCCGGAAUUGCACCUCAAACUACUUGGCUAGAGCAUUGGAGAGGGUAGCAGAAUUCAUGGUGUAGCAGUGAAAUGCGUAGAUAUCAUGAGGAAUACCAGAGGCGAAGGCGACUACCUGGACAAUUGCUGACGCUCAGGCACGAAAGCGUGGGGAGCAAAAGGG
rnacentral:rRNA from 1 species